CCUACGGGAGGCAGCAGUGAGGAAUAUUCGUCAAUGGGCGCGAGCCUGAACCAGCCAAGUAGCGUGAAGGAUGACUGCCCUAUGGGUUGUAAACUUCUUUUAUAAAGGAAUAAAACGAGGCACGUGUGCCUUUUUGCAUGUACUUUAUGUAUAAGGAUCGGCUAACUCCGUGCCAGCAGCCGCGGUAAUACGGAGGAUCCGAGCGUUAUCCGGAUUGAUUGGGUUUAAAGGGAGCGUAGAUGGGUUGUUAAGUCAGUUGUGAAAGUUUGCGGCUCAACCGUAAAAUUGCAAUGGAUACUGGCAGUCUUGAGUACAGUUGAGGUAGGCGGAAUUCGUGGUGUAGCGGUGAAAUGCUUAGAUAUAACGAAGAACCCCGAUUGCGAAGGCAGCUUACUAAACUGUGACUGACAUUGAUGCUCGAAAGUGUGGGUAGCAAACAGGAUUAGAUACCCGUGUAGUC
rnacentral:rRNA from 1 species